rnacentral:rRNA from 1 species
UGGGGAAUAUUGGACAAUGGGCGAAAGCCUGAUCCAGCCAUGCCGCGUGAGUGAUGACGGCCCUAGGGUUGUAAAGCUCUUUCGCAGGUGAAGAUAAUGACGGUAACCUGAGAAGAAGCCCCGGCUAACUUCGUGCCAGCAGCCGCGGUAAUACGAAGGGGGCUAGCGUUGUUCGGAAUUACUGGGCGUAAAGCGCACGUAGGCGGACUAUUAAGUCAGGGGUGAAAUCCCGGGGCUCAACCCCGGAACUGCCUUUGAUACUGGUAGUCUCGAGUCCGGAAGAGGUGAGUGGAAUUCCGAGUGUAGAGGUGAAAUUCGUAGAUAUUCGGAGGAACACCAGUGGCGAAGGCGGCUCACUGGUCCGGUACUGACGCUGAGGUGCGAAAGCGUGGGGAGCAAACAGG